rnacentral:tRNA from 1 species
AAAUUAUUAUUUUGGCAGAUUAGUGCAUUAAAUUUAGAAUUUAAUUAUGUAAUAAAAUUACAAAUAAUA